AAAUUUAAUAGUCUGCUUUUAUUGAGACAGCCCCUGAGUAAUGCAAUCCAAAGAGGCUCAGUGGUAGAGCUGGUCUGGAAUUUUCUGGUGAAACUUUUUUGAUCUGAAAAUAAUAGCUCCAUCUAAGCAGAAGAGUUUUGUGGAAACUAGUCAGCUGAGAAGAAUUUCCAGUCAAAUAAAAUCCAGGGCGCAUCAGAAAAUUGCCUGGCUUCAUGCCAAAUUGUCUCAUGGUUUGCCUGAAGGACAAACUUUGUCCCAUCACACAGCUGCUCAUGGUGCACAAGAAGUCCCCCAAACCUGCAGCUCCUGAUCCAUCAUCACUCUGCUUGGAAUCAAUGAGGAGACACAGGGCAGUGGUGAGAGAUGGGUAUCUCCCGUUCUAAUACAAAUGAGUGCAACAGGUCAGCCCCUGGAACUGGCUGUAUCUCUCUACGGGCUUCAGAGGAGACCUACAUGACUGACUUAGAAUGGAUGAUAACUUUCUUACAGGUGAGCAGCAUAAUUGCAUGGAGGUUGAAGUUCCCAGUUCACUUCUUCUAAUGAAUGAGACACUGAUAUUUACAGGUGGAGUUCUGGAAAAGGAGACACAUUCUGGCAGAAGCACAAGCAUUUCUUAGAGGGAGUCCACCCACUGGGAAGUUUGUGGAAGCAGCUGUAGGCAGAAGAAUGAUACCAGUGGGAUCUGAAAGUGAUCCUCACAAUCAGUGAAACAACAGGAGCACUGGACUCAUUUCCAACCUUACUGCACCCAAAAGAAAAAAAGUAAUGCUGCAAUAUUUAUAGCUGGGAAGUGUGUUGUGCAAUCCUCAGUACUCCUCAUUGAUCUAUUUUGGAACACAUUUUAGGUAUUAGGAACAUUGGUAAAAUGAUUAGAAAAAGCUCUUUUUUUUUUCCAAGAUCAUUUACUUACAAUUGUAGAUAACCACAUCAUCUCACUUUAAAAAUACAGUUAACAAAAACAACUUAAGACUGCAGUUAUAGACCCCAGUAAGUUCCCAGAAGUCCAGCUGAGACUCUCACUCGUUUCAUUGUUAGUACUUUUUGUAUUCUCCAACAUGAAUGCAUUCACAUCCAUUUUAUAUCCACUUGUCCUUGUGCCCGCAUUGCCCUUCAGAAGAAAGGACCUUUUCGUCCUGGAGACAUACUUAGAGAAAUAAAUGGUAUCUUCUCAGAGACUUUCUUUUGCUACAUGAAACUAGCAAAAUCCUUUUAACUUCUGUUAUGUGAUGGGUUUUCCAUUCUCUGGUUAUUGUCCUAGUCCUUGCUUUCAAUUACGCCAGUCUGAAUUCACCUGUCAGUGGUGGAGGUAAAUCGAGACCGCUCCAGAAGUGCCUUGUGUAAUCAUGUCAAUAGCUCUUUCUUUAACCACAAAACAUACCCUAAAUCCUUGGUAAAUCUUAAAAAAAUUGGCUUAUGGGGAGCACAUGGACAUGAAGUAUUCUGACCAGUUAAAAUCCAGACCCACGGGUCACUACAGAUUUGAACCUUCUUCACUAGAGUUGUGUAAGUAACAUGCUCAUUUUUCAGCCAAAGGACAUGACUGACCUUCUCAGCAUGCAGCUAAGCAUAGCUCUUUCUUAAUGAUAUUAAAGAGAGGGAAAUGUGAUAAGGAUGGGACUUGUGGGAGUGGUUGUUCCAGGCUGAGAAAUUGUACAUUAACUUUAAUAAUAACGUGAUAAAUCGGUAAUGGAAGCAGAAAUUAUUAUUUGUAUUUUUGGA